GCUAGGUGGAGGCGCCCGAACUGCCGCCCGUCACGGCCGGGGACCAGCCGGCCACACGCGCCGCCGCAGGACCAGCUUGCGACGCGCUCAUGGGAGCACCAGCAGCGGCGCUCGGCGCGAUGCUCCAUAAAUGUCGGUGUCCUUCCUCGACCGGUGUCCAGCACGCGAUGGAACCAGCCCGCCAAUGGCAGCUGCGCGGCUGUCGGGGCGGGGCCGAAGCCCAGGGGUGGCGGCAGAUGCACGGGCAGGAGGAACCCGUGGGCGUGGCUGGCCGCAGACGGGAGCAAUCGCUGGGGGAGGCCUUCUUCCUGUUCUAAAGGCCCUUCUGGCUCACGUUCUGCCUCGGUGUCAUCAUCCCUAUCAAGCUCUGCAAGGUACUCCUCCUGGUUGACCUGAGGCUGGUGUCAUCGUCCCCUUCAAGCUCGACAAUGUACUCCUCCUGGUUAACCUGAGGCUGCAUGCCUGGUCGGGUCCUCGAUCUGAUCUGUUGGAACUCGGAUGUGGCUAAGAGAUUGGAUGUCGUGUUCUUGGAGUGGAGUGGGCUAGAGCAGGAGUAGAGAUGGCACUGAUUGACGCAAUUCCUAACAGCAUUCGCAUCCCUGUGUGGAAAUUAUUUGGAGGGGCAUCAGAUACUGUGACUACAGACAUAACGAUUCCAAUCGUGGCCCCAAAUGAAGCUGCACAAUUGGCCGCAAAAUAAUGAGUGCAAGGGUUUCAAACGCUGAAGCUCAAGUUUGGGAAAAACUUGAACUCGGAUAUACAAGUUUGGAAAAACAAAAUGGGUGUGACCCCUGUGCUCUUUGAGCAAACAGUUCACAAAGAUUAUAGGGAUGGUCUCCGUGAUAUUAGUAUUGUUGCCAUGGAGAAAUACAAUGUCACUAGCGCUGCUGAUAAAAGUUAUUAGAAUUUACAUGA